rnacentral:rRNA from 1 species
AUGAACGCUAGCGACAGGCCUAACACAUGCAAGUCGAGGGGCAGCACAAGGAGCAAUCUGAGGUGGCGACCGGCGCACGGGUGAGUAACACGUAUGCAACCUGCCUGUAAGCGGGGAAUAACCCGUUGAAAGACGGACUAAUACCGCAUAAUACUAAAUUACUGCAUGGUAAUUUAUUUAAACAUUUAUGGCUUACAGAUGGGCAUGCGCAUGAUUAGCUAGUUGGAGAGGUAACGGCUCCCCAAGGCAACGAUCAUUAGGGGUUCUGAGAGGAAGGUCCCCCACACUGGUGCUGAGACACGGACCAGACUCCUACGGGAGGCAGCAGUGAGGAAUAUUGGUCAAUGGACGAGAGUCUGAACCAGCCAAGUCGCGUGCAGGAAGAAUGUCCUAAUGGAUUGUAAACUGCUUUUGCAGGGGAAUAAAGUGCAUCACGUGUGAUGUUUUGUAUGUACUCUGCGAAUAAGGAUCGGCUAACUCCGUGCCAGCAGCCGC